rnacentral:lncRNA from 1 species
UGCAUGGGAUGUCUAGAAAGAUUCAUAGGAUUAUCGGGAGGUUCAAGAGGAAGAGCAUAGUAGAAACUAUUAAGCUCAAGGAUGAGAUGGAUAGCCGAAUCAUGGGAUUGAAAUGUUUGGAAAUUGGCUAUUGAAACUUCCUUUCCUCGUCUGGGAGAUGAUUCCUUCUCUAUCUCUAAGAUUAUUCUAUGAAGGCUAGUACAAGAAAGAUGUCCACG